rnacentral:rRNA from 1 species
CCUACGGGGUGCAGCAGUGGGGAAUAUUGCACAAUGGGGGAAACCCUGAUGUAGCGACGCCGCGUGAGUGAAGAAGUAUUUCGGUACGUAAAGCUCUAUCAGCAGGGAAGAAAAUGACGGUACCUGACUAAGAAGCCCCGGCUAACUACGUGCCAGCAGCCGCGGUAAUACGUAGGGGGCAAGCGUUAUCCGGAUUUACUGGGUGUAAAGGGAGCGUAGACGGCAGCGCAAGUCUGGAGUGAAAUCCCAUGGCUUAACCAUGGAACUGCUUUGGAAACUGUGCAGCUAGAGUGCAGGAGAGGUAAGCGGAAUUCCUAGUGUAGCGGUGAAAUGCGUAGAUAUUAGGAGGAACACCAGUGGCGAAGGCGGCUUACUGGACUGUAACUGACGUUGAGGCUCGAAAGCGUGGGGAGCAAACAGGAUUAGAUACCCGGGUAGUC